rnacentral:rRNA from 1 species
GGAAUCUUGGGCAAUGGGCGCAAGCCUGACCCAGCGACGCCGCGUGAGGGAUGAAGGCCUUCGGGUCGUACACCUCUGUCAGGAGGGAAGAACGGCGGUGAGGUGAACAAUCUCGCUGUCUGACGGUACCUGCGAAGGAAGGGACGGCUCACUCCGUGCCAGCAGACGCGGUAAUACGGAGGGCGCAAGCGUUGUUCGGAAUCACUGGGCGUAAAGCGCGUGUAGGCGGCUUGGCAAGUCGGAUGUGAAAUCCCGAGGCUCAACCUCGGAACUGCACUCGAAACUGCCUGGCUCGAGUCCCGGAGAGGGUGGCGGAAUUCCCGGUGUAGGGGUGAAAUCCGUAGAUAUCGGGAGGAACACCAGUGGCGAAGGCGGCCACCUGGACGGUGACUGACGCUGAGACGCGAAAGCGUGGGGAGCAAAC